ensembl:lncRNA
GAGGCGUCGAUUAUGCAAACGCAGUAAUGCCAUCAAAUCCUGACAGUGCCGGGGAAAUUUUUUUUUCAAAAAAAUAAUAGAGAGAUAUAUUUAUUUUUUUUUUUAAAAAAAGAGGGAGCCAAACGCAUGCAAAGAGAAACGUGCACAUACCACGCAACCACCCGAGGAGAACCUGGCAGCCUGUCUCCUCUUCUGCCAAGUUAUCAUUAAGAAAACAGGGAAGGCAUCAUGACGUCCUGGGUCACAGGGAGUGCGGACCGACGCUACCAAGAGCGAAGGGAGGCGCCUGGGCGCUCCGGCUAGCCGCGGGCGCAGCUCGGCCCCUCGCCGCCCGGCUGGUAGAGUAACGUGCUGGUUCGUCAAUGAAGCAAGCUGAAGUGAUGAAGAUGUAAGGAAAGCAUCCUACGCUAACACUGUCGCAGUCGGAAAGGUAAGGUCCUUGCCACGAGACUGGGAAAUGCUGAUGUUCUCUCGAGGUCUGCAGGAUGCUAUGCCCCCGUGCUACCCAUCCGAGGGUAAAUCAACCCCAUUGACAGGCUAGUCCGUCUAUUGUGUCAGGUUGUGUCUGUGAGAGUUUAGUUUAUAGCUGACAAUACGGUCUACACAAAGGUCUGAUGUUUUCCUUGUCUUGUCUUUUAAAAUGUAAAGCGGUAUUAAAAAAAAUAAUCAGUAGGGUUUCACUAUGUAGCCUGUCUCACUGUACAGUCUUGGCUGGCUUGGAACUUCCUAUGUAGAUCAGGCUGGCCUCAAACUCACGGACAGGCAGGACAGGUGUGCAUCACUGUGGUGCCUGGCACCAAAGCAUUUGGAAUGCUCUCCGAGUGUCUUCUUUUGUGGCGUGUACUGAUGGGUAGAAGUCACUGCGUGGGGGUGGCAGGGGCCAUGAGGCUCUUGGCGAGGCCGUGCCCUCAUUGCACUGAUGCGUUAUGCUGACCUGUAAGAUGUGGUUGGCAAGGUCUGCCUGUUUCUGAAUUCUGUAUUUUGGUAGAAUACAGAGUACAAAGUAUUACCAUUCUGUGCAUCUCGUCCCGCGCUUACAGCAGGCACGGCUCUCUGACUCCAGCUGCUAUAAACUUACGGACGCAUUAUCUAUUGAAUGCUCUGUUAUUUCCAUAAGCAAAGGUUGAGUUUAUUUCACUUCGUUUUUCAAAGGAAAACCAUAGAUGUCAUAGGUCUCAUCCAUUACUUUGCUGGUGUUAGGGGCAUGGUGCCUUCACUUGGUCCUGUGAACCACACAGUGAUGGUUGUCCCUGGAGGCUCUCAUGGAUGGCUUGGGGACUUGUUUCUUUCAGUCUUCCCACAUAGGUAGACCCGAGGCAGGGUGAACACCUACUGCCCCCUUCAGGUAGAAGCAGCAACAGAAUCUCUGCAGCUGAGUCCCUACUGAGCACCGCAGGAGGCCUAAUGUAGGAGUGCUUCUGCAGAAAGGAAUGCCCACUCUGUCCCCGGUCUCUAAGGUGCUUGCUUCCGAGCCUGCUGAGCGUGGCAGACUUCAGAAGAUAAUCAACAGGUUUUGGCUUCAGUGUGAAAAUAGCACUUUCAAACUGAAAUUCCUUUCACAAAGGACCAGAAUUUGUUUCAUUCACAAACUGGCAGUGUUUCAGAGGUGGGAAAAUAGGUUUCAGUUCUUAAAAGCAGAUAGGAAUGAGGGUAGCCUUAGCUUUGUUUUCUCAGGUCAAAUUCCUAAAAGGGAGUUCUGACCCCAGACCCUUUGGUCCCAUGAGCCUGAGGUAUGAUAUUGUUGCUAGGUGUAGUAUCCUUUUUUACUUCAAUUUUUUUCUUUUACACUUUAAGUCUGAAAUUAUAGCUAUUGUUUUUAGAAAGCUCAAGUGUGCUUUAAUUUAAAUUCAUGUUUGCUGUGCUCCUACGAAAAAAGGACUAAUUAUUUGCACAUUAAAAGUAGGCUGGCUUUUACAAAGUAUUUACCACAAGAUUGCUUUCAGUAGCAGUUCUCUUAGAGAGUUUGAAAUCUGAAAAUUUGAGAAAACAUCAGAGGUUCCUCAGCAGACUUUGGGCAACAGAUCCGUUUAAUGGGAGGCAGGUAAGAGGGUAGGAAUCAUGGAAAGAGGUCUUUAGUCAAUUGCAUGGUGUGUGUGUGUGUGUGUGUGUGUGUGUGUGUGUGUGUGUGUGUAUGUGUAUUAAUGGAUUCACCAUGCUUGGUGUCUGUUGACAAUCUUCUUCAUUUUCCUCCUACCAUAUUUUUAAGACAGGGACCCUCUUGCCUCCAUGUCCCCAUGACUAAGGUUUCAUGCACCUGAUGUUUUACAUUUGCGCCAGUGACUCAAACUCAAGUCUUCACGCUUGGGCACCCAUCAUCUUCCUACACCGAACCGUCUUCCCCAUCCAGGAAUUAUAUUUAGAAAAUCGUUUACUUUUGUGAAGUUUUCCAGAGAAAGACACCUUUAUUGUUGCCAGAGUGCAUCAGAGAAAAAGAAGAAAGAAAAAAAGAAAAAGAAAAAAAACCCACCAAGAAAUCAGGCCAGCUCGAGCUUGGGAAAGAUAAAUAAAAUCUAUUUGUUUGGUGGGUAGCAUUCUGCAUUAUGCAUGGACGUAAAAGUGAGGUUUGCUUUGAUCCUGUCUAUUAAAAGUUUAUUUUUAAACUCAGACUGGGCAGGAAUCCAGCAAUGCUCUUUGUCCUGCAACACAUCCUGGGCUUUGGGUCCCCAGCCUGGCAGAAGUGUGGCUAAGCAGGAGGAAGUAGGGAGCCAAUGGUGUGGAUGGUUGAUGGGUGCUCCAGGGGGGGGGGUUCCCUCCCUUUCCUCCCCUCCAGUUUUGAAAUUCAAAUUGAAUGCAAUUUUCAGCUCAUUUGAGCCAGAGUAUAGUGUUGCUGAGCUUCAGUGGUUCUUAAAUUCAAAACUCAUGGGAGGAAACAGAUAUCAUCUGUCACUGGGGUGGGAGCGAGGAGACUACACACUUUAUUCAGAGGAGGCAGACCCCUAGUCACUAAUUCCGACCUUCCGAGGACUAAUCAUUCACCAACCAACUGAUCAAGUAAUCAAUGAGACCUUCAAGCCACCCAGCUCCUGAAGUCUGGGAGUGGCUGCCCUGCUCUCCCCAGCUCUUAAGAAUAAUUGCUGGUCUAUUUUUGUAUCAUUGAUAUUUUAAUACCUUUCGUGGCAAGCUGAGACAGAAUAUCUUGGCAGUCUUUUUUUUUUUCCCUGCCCUUCCUGGCUGUUGGCUGUUUUUAUUGUUUCCAUCUUUAGUGACUUUGUCAAUGUUGCUUCCUUAUGACUGAGAAUUAGCAGACGGCUUGAGGCCGGCUCUGCAGGGACAAACUUUGAGCUACAUUUUACCAAAUAGACGGUUGGGGAAAAAAAAUACGCGUGUUUCUCAGGGCAAGCUUGAGUGCCAAUUAAAAUGGGAAGACCCACUCACGGGGUACUGGAGCCUGAGAGUGUGGCUUAUCUGCAGCGUGGAUGUUUCAGAGACCCUUGAGAAUGGCUCUCUGUGAAUUUCUGACACACCGGAUAUGUGCCCUGGGAAUACAAAUGGAUUUCAGCAAUGAUGACUUGUCGUCCUUCCUCUGAUUUCAGUCAUGAUGCGGGAUGGCGGCCCUGAUCCUGAUAUGUGUGUUACAAGCUUUGACCCUAGUGCUUAGCUUUGCACAUUUAGUGUGAGCCAAAAUUUCCAAGGGACGAUGGAAACUGUUAAUUAGUUCUUCUUAGGCAAAAUUUUUCCCAAAACUCCAUGGAAAUUUUUAUGAUAAAUUAGUUCUCAAUAUAUGGCCAUAACACUUAGAAAUGCAAAAUGUACACAAUAAGACUAUGAUCUGGCCGGAUACAUACUUGUGUGUGUGUGUGUGUAUGUGUGUGUGUGUGUGUGUGUGUGUGUGUGUGUGUGUGUGUGUGUG